AAUAGUUGACAGUAGGGGCAACCCUGAUUCAGCCAUGCGGCGUGUGUGAAGAAGGUCUUCGGGUUGUAAGGAGCUGUAAGUGAGGAGGAAGGGCUUUAGGCUAAUACACUAAAGUUAUGCCGUUACCAACAGAAUAAGCACCGGCUAAGUCUCUGCCAGCAGCCGCGGUAAUACAGAGUGUGCAAGCGUUAAUCGGAAUUACUGGGCGUAAAGCGCGCGGAGGUGGUUCAGUAAGAUGGGUGUGAAAGCCACGGGCUUAACCUAGGAACUGCUUUCAUAACUGCUGAGCUAGAGUACGGUAGAGGGUAGUGGAAUUUCCUGUGUAGCGGUGAAAUGCGUAGAUAUAGGAGGGAACACCAGUGGCGAAGGCGACUACCUGGACUGAUACUGACACUGAGGUGCGAAAGCAUGGGGAGCGAACAG
rnacentral:rRNA from 1 species